UUUUCUCUCUUCUCCUUCCUCCCCGUGCGUUCUCCUUCCGUUCGCAGCAAGCAGCCGCUGACCAUCCCUUCUCCUCUCCGUUCCGCCAGAUCGAGCCGAACUCAACCGCAACAUCUGUUUCUUCCUCCGUUCACCGAAGCCGAACCCACUUUCUUUCUUCUUCGAUCCAAAACGGUCGCUGUAACCGUCGGCCGCCGCGUAACUUUCCGUCCAGAUCUGCACCGCAAGACCUUCCGUCGUUGCAACCGUUGCUCUUUCUCCGCUGCCCAGCCGUCUCAGUCGGUUCUGUCUCCGUCGAAGCCACGGUUCUGUCUUCGUGAAGCCCUGACGCGCAACCUCUGUUUCGAGCCGCCGCCCAUUCCGUUCUCCUCUGUUUUCUGCACUGCCGCGCAACUCUCCGACCGCGUCAGAUCGUUGAUCGAUUUUGAGGCAGCCGCCACGUCUCCUUUGGCCGACCGCUGACCGACCCACACUUAGGAUUUUUGCUGCGACUCCGACAGUCGUGCGUUGAGGUGUUGGGAGUAACGUUGGGCUCCCUUAAAUUCACAACCAAUUUGUGAAUUGUUGAGGGUUCAGUUCGCCAAUAUAUCGGAUUGUUUCGAGGACGUUAGUUGAUUAAGGAGCUUCCCCAACUUUGAGGCAAAGGAAAUA